rnacentral:rRNA from 1 species
GACGAACGCUGGCGGCGUGCUUAACACAUGCAAGUCGAACGGAAAGGCCCCUUUGGGGGUACUCGAGUGGCGAACGGGUGAGUAACACGUGAGUAACCUGCCCUUGACUUCGGGAUAACUUCAGGAAACUGGGGCUAAUACCGGAUAGGAAUCCUUGCUGCAUGGUGGGGGUUGGAAAGCUUCGGCGGUUUUGGAUGGACUCGCGGCUUAUCAGCUUGUUGGUGGGGUAGUGGCUUACCAAGGCUUUGACGGGUAGCCGGCCUGAGAGGGCGACCGGCCACAUUGGGACUGAGAUACGGCCCAGACGCCUACGGGAGGCAGCAGUGGGGAAUAUUGCACAAUGGGCGGAAGCCGGAUGCAGCAACGCCGCGUGCGGGAUGACGGCCUUCGGGUUGUAAACCGCUUUCAGCAGGGGCGAAGCUUGUGGUGACGGUACCUGCAGAAGAAGCACCGGCUAACUACGUG